UUCACCUCAUUUUAAGUGAGAUUGUAAUAUAAUUCAUGUUUAAAAAUGGCAUUUAUUAAAUCUCAAACCUGGUUUCUAAUUGUAAUUGCUGCUUGCUUACUUUGUGCUAAUCUACUGUCGGCUGCUGAUACCCCACCGGAUCCUAUAUUUUUGCCUGACGACACUUCAGGCAUACAGGAUGCAA